rnacentral:rRNA from 1 species
AACGAACGCUGGCGGCAUGCCUAACACAUGCAAGUCGAACGAGACCUUCGGGUCUAGUGGCGCACGGGUGCGUAACGCGUGGGAACCUGCCCUUAGGUUCGGAAUAACUCCCCGAAAGGGGUGCUAAUACCGGAUAAUGUCUUCGGACCAAAGAUUUAUCGCCUUUGGAUGGGCCCGCGUUGGAUUAGCUAGUUGGUAGGGUAAAAGCCUACCAAGGCGACGAUCCAUAGCUGGUCUGAGAGGAUGAUCAGCCACACUGGGACUGAGACACGGCCCAGACGCCGAAGGGAGGCAGCAGUGGGGAUGUUGGGACAAGGGGCGGAAGCCCGAGCCAGCAAUGCCGCGGGAGUGAAGAAGGUCUUAGGGUUGUAAAGCUCUUUAACAGGGCAAGAAAAGGUGAGCGCUAAGAUAGAGUGCUCCGGACGGCACCUGAAGAAGAAGCACGGGAUAAGGACGGG